rnacentral:rRNA from 1 species
GUGAACGCUGGCGGUAGGCCUAACACAUGCAAGUCGAACGGCAGCACAGUAAGAGCUUGCUCUUACGGGUGGCGAGUGGCGGACGGGUGAGGAAUACAUCGGAAUCUACUUUUUCGUGGGGGAUAACGUAGGGAAACUUACGCUAAUACCGCAUACGACCUACGGGUGAAAGCAGGGGAUCUUCGGACCUUGCGCGAUUGAAUGAGCCGAUGUCGGAUUAGCUAGUUGGCGGGGUAAAGGCCCACCAAGGCGACGAUCCGUAGCUGGUCUGAGAGGAUGAUGAGCCACACUGGAACUGAGACACGGUCCAGACUCCGACGGGAGGCAGCAGUGGGGAAUAUUGGACAAUGGGCGCAAGCCUGAUCCAGCCAUACCGCGUGGGUGAAGAAGGCCUUCGGGUUGUAAAGCCAUUUUGUUGGGAAAGAAAAGCAGCAGGUUAAUACCCCGCUGUUCUGACGGUACCCAAAGAAUAAGCACCGGCUAACUUCGUG